rnacentral:tRNA from 1 species
AUUCAUAUAGUUUACUUAAAACAUUACACUUUCACUGUAAAAAUAAGCCUUGGCUUUAUGAAUG